rnacentral:rRNA from 1 species
CACGUAGGGUGCGAGCGUUGUCCGGAAUUAUUGGGCGUAAAGAGCUCGUAGGCGGUGUGUCGCGUCGGCCGUGAAAACCUGCAGCUUAACUGUGGGCUUGCGGUCGAUACGGGCAUCACUGGAGUUCGGCAGGGGAGACUGGAAUUCCUGGUGUAGCGGUGAAAUGCGCAGAUAUCAGGAGGAACACCGGUGGCGAAGGCGGGGUCUCUGGGGCCGAUACUGACGCUGGAGGAG